UUUCCCCACAGAUUUUGCAAGUAUAUCUUUUCUGGAAUAAAAAAAAAAGAAUGAUGAAGUACAAUUUCUUAGUAUUCUAACCCAUUCUGCAUUACAGUGUAUAAUCGUAUGUAUUUUACUUAUAGCAAUGUCAUUCUCUUUUUAUAGGUGCGAACACAGAAAAGACUUGUGAACUACAGACUGGUCGAUAACACAGGAUGGCUGUAGAUUGAAUGGUAAUUUUGCACAUACUUUAUAUUUUUCUGCAUAAUGUUGCAACUUCAAAUAGAUUUAUGAAACCUAAAAAAAAAAGGACAAGAUGUAAUUGUAAAUCAGUUUGUUACAUUAUCUGUACAACACAACCUUGCUAUGCUCUGCAUACAUAUGGUUUUAGUUUGUCAUGAUGUACUACACGAGGUUUCUGACCUAACCCUUGAAUACGGUACAAAUUUUUUUUUGUUAAAACUGUAUAGGGACCUUUCCAUGGUCUCGUGAAUUUACUGCUUAACUGACUUUCCUUUGUUGGUUAUAAUACCACACCUGAUCACCUACAUCAUACUGUUGAAAGUUAGUAGUAGGUCAUAUUACUUUUUCAUGACCUCACUAGAGACUUUAAGCUUGUUCCUAGCAUAUUCAUGUAUUUCUACUAUUCUACUUUCCGAGGCAUUUACAUAAUCAGAACCAUAUUUUAGUCUCGUUUCAGCAUUUUCUAAUUCAGGUUGUCCAAAGACAAGAUCAGUUGGGAGCCUUAUUUCAAUGCCAUAGAGCAUAGAUGCGGGUGUGUCACCAAUGGCUUCAUGUACAGAACUAGGAUGGGCAAUUAAACAUAAAGGUGUGCAGCAUUCUAGAUUGUUCUAAUCCAGUGUACCAUGCAGAGAAAUGUGUCAGAUAUAUGUUGCCUCAGUCCUGUCUGUGUCUUCAGUAAAACACCAACACCAUUUUCUCCACUGGUAUCCCAGACACCAAAGAGUAUUCGGGCCAAACACCAGAUAGAUAUUCCAGCCUGACACCAUCAGGGUUUUUGGGCUCAAUACCAAAUAGCUAUUCCAGCCCAAUUCCUAGAUAUUCCAGCUAAACACCUGGUUCAACAGCAAGACCAUCUUGAAGCCCAGCAACUACAGUGUGGAAAGCCUGUUGUUGGACCCAAUAUUGAAGCCAUGUCUGCAAACAUAGGUGUGCUGUAUAUGACCUUGACACGCCUUGCUGCAACCUUGACACUCUUUGCUGCAACCUUGACACCCCUUGCGGCGACCUUUACACUCCUGCAAAGUUGUUUUCCAGCAUGUAUCCAAACACAUGAAGGGCUUGCCGCUAACAAAGAACUAUGGUCUCAUACUGAUGCUUAUCCAUAUUUUGUUUACAUUAUGAGUUCAAUGUAUUUGAAUAUGCACAUGUUCAUUCAAAAGAGUGUGAUUUAAAUGAUUUAAUAAUGGGUCAGUAAGAAUCCUAUGUCAAAGAGUUUAUUAGUGGAUCUCCCUCACUUUCUUCUUUUUUUCCCUGUAAUUAUAUUGUAUUGUUGAAUUACAAUACAAUUUGGAUAUAUGAGUGAGUCGACACAAAAUUGUCCUAUAUAUAUGUUGUAUGUAAUAAAUUAAAUGGUUGUAUAAUAUUGAAUUGUUUAAGUACAUUUUUUGUACACAUUGUAAGGGGGAGUAUACUGGUUUCAGGUUGUCUGGCCGUCUAUCCGUAGACGCAAUCUUGUGCGCACCAUCUCUCCUUAUCCCCUUGACAGAAUUUAAUGAAACUUCACACAAGUGAUCAGUACAAACAGUAGUUGUGCAUGGGGCAUGUUAGGUUCUUUUAGAAAAACAAUUUGCAGAGUUAUGGGACUUUGUUUUUUUGUUACUAUACUAUAUACAUAGACACAAUCUUGUGCGCACCAUCUCUCCUCAUCCUCUUGACACAAUUUAAUGAAACUUCACACAAGUGAUCAG